rnacentral:lncRNA from 1 species
AUUUCCCUACUUUUGCUAGAUUGAUUCAGAUUUUCAAUCCACAUGGACACCCUAAUUUUUGCCUAAAUCACUUGUUUUCAAGUUUUCGACUUAGCGAGAUUUAUCCCUCAGACAUGACACUCCUCUUUUGAAGUUUGAACAUCUGGUCAAACUAACUGACGACUACCCUGCCCCGAGUUAAAAUUUAGGGCUUUAUGUCCAUAAAGAAACUCCUACUCC